UACGGAGGGUGCAAGCGUUAAUCGGCAUUACUGGGCGUACAGCGCGCGUAGGCGGCUAGAUAAGUCGGAUGUGCAAGCCCCGGGCUCAACCUGGGAACUGCAUACGAUACUGUUUGGCUAGAGUAUGAGAGAGGGAGGUAGAAUUCCACGUGGAGCGGUGAAAUGCGUAGAGAUGUGGAGGAAGACCGGUGGCGAAGGCGGCCUCCUGGCUUAAUACUGACGCUGAGGUGCGAAAGCGUGGGGAGAAAACAGG
rnacentral:rRNA from 1 species